rnacentral:rRNA from 1 species
UACGUAGGGUGCAAGCGUUAAUCGGAAUUACUGGGCGUAAAGCGUGCGCAGGCGGCUUUGCAAGACAGAUAUGAAAUCCCCGGGCUUAACCUGGGAAUGGCAUUGGUGACUGCACGGCUAGAGUGUGUCAGAGGGGGGUAGAAUUCCACGUGUAGCAGUGAAAUGCGUAGGGAUGUGGAGGAAUACCGAUGGCGAAGGCAGCCCCCUGGGAUAACACUGACGCUCAUGCACGAAAGCGUGGGGAGCAAACAGG